rnacentral:misc_RNA from 1 species
UCAGUUUUGCCUCACACUCAGUCGACAGAGUGUGACAAACAACAUGGUGUGCGGUUUGACCUGAACGCGUUAUAGCUGGUACUUUGUUGUCAUAUGUAUAAAAUUGGCAUAAUUUGUAGUAAAAAACAUGACUACCUUUCUGGAACUCGGUUUAAACGACUGGCUUGCUAGACAAUGUGCUGCUAUGGGUCUCAAUAGACCAACUGAAAUUCAACUCAACUGCAUACCACCGAUUCUUGUGGGUGAGGAUGUAAUUGCUUGUGCUAAGACUGGCAGUGGGAAGACUGCUGCCUUUGCUCUGCCAGUUCUGCAAAAACUGUCAGAAGAUCCAUAUGGGAUUUUUGCUGUUGUUCUUACGCCAACAAGAGAGUUGGCUUUCCAGAUUGCGGAGCAGUUCAGUGUGUUAGGAAAACCCAUGGGAGUCCGAGUGACUGUGAUUACAGGAGGCCUUGAUAUGUUACAACAAGGUGUUGACCUUUCUGUGAAACCCCACAUAGUCAUAUCAACACCUGGCAGGCUGGCAGACCAUAUUGAAAGCUGUACAAACUUCAGCCUGAAGAGGAUCAAGUUUCUUGUACUUGAUGAAGCAGAUCGUCUUUUAGAAGACAAUUUUGGCAGUCAGUUGGAAGUAAUAUUUAAGGUUUUACCCAGAAAGAGGCAAACAGUGCUGGUUAGUGCAACGAUGACAGAGACAUUGAAACAACUGCAAGACCUUACCAUGAACAAGCCAUUCUUCUGGCAGCAAGAGGCAAGUGUGGCUACAGUGGAGGAGUUGACUCAGACGUAUGUGUUGAUGGCGGCAGACAUGAAGGAUGCCUACCUGGUCCACAUCGUGCAGUCCUACACAGAGAAACACCCACACAGCUCCAUCAUCAUUUUCACAAGCACAUGCAAGUACACCCAGAUCUUGGGUAUGAUAUUUGGAGAAGUUGGGUUUGAAGUAGCAGUCUUGCACUCUAUGAUCCCUCAACGCCAGAGACUUUCUGCCCUCAACAAAUUCAAGUCAAAUGAAGUUAGAAUUCUUCUUGCAACAGAUGUUGCCAGCAGAGGCCUGGACAUCCCAACAGUAGAUCUUGUCAUUAAUCACAACGUUCCAAACAGACCCAAAGAUUAUGUCCAUCGAGUGGGACGCACAGCCAGAGCAGGUCGAGAUGGUGUGUCGCUUACAUUGGUCACACAGUUUGAUGUGAAGCUGGUACAUGCUAUUGAAGCCUUCAUCAAUGCAAAACUUACAGAGUACAAGACAAAUGAAAAGGCUGUGAUGGACAUUCUCAGUGAGGUGGCUGUAGCAAGGCGAGAAGCAGAAAUAAAACUAGAUGAACAGGACUUUGGGGAAAAGAAAGCUGUUAUCAAGAGGAAAUGUCUUCUUGAAGAAACAAAGGAUCGAGAGGUUUCCCAGAAAUUCAGGAAAUUGGAACACAAGAACAAGAAUUCAAGACAAAAGUCAUUCAUCAAGACAUCAAAGGAGAAAUCAGUAAAAUAAAAAUGCUUCUCAUGAAACUGCUCCAUUUUAAACAUGAAAGUGUGAUAAUGGCUACUUCAAGUAGUUCUGCAGAUCCCAACAGACUCUUCAUUAUAGAUCAAAUUUUGCAAUCGUAUCAACCUUUUGUGAAGUAGAUUGAUUUAAAGGUUUCAUAUUUGAAACAGUUUCAUAGAAUCAAGAUGGAUUCGGACACAAUGACUGUUGAGUUAUAACAUUUUGCACACCAGGGCAAGUGAACUGAUUGCAAAAGUAUAAAUACAUUGUGACAAAAGCAUUUGGGGCUGGCUCAGUUGGUUAUGCAAGAAGACUGAUGUUAAUAUUAUACGUUGCUUGUAAAAUUGGGACAAUAAAUUUAUGAUGAAAUAAUUUUGAUUAGGGGCAGAAGAAAGAAACAAGCAGUUAAUCUGGGAUAGUGGGUAACAGGAGCUGAAUGAAGCAGCUGUUGGACCGGGGAUAGUGGGUAACAGGAGCUGAAUGAAGCAGCUGUUGGACCCGGGACAGGAGCUGAAUGAAGCAGCUGUUGGACCCGGGACAGGAGCUGAAUGAAGCAGCUGUUGGACCGGGGAUAGUGGGUAACAGGAGCUGAAUGAAGCAGCUGUUGGACCGGGGAUAGUGGGUAACAGGAGCUGAAUGAAGAAGCUGUUAGACCUGGGAUAGUGGGUAACAGGAGCAGAAUGAAGCAGCUGUUGGACCGGGGAUAGUGGGUAACAGGAGCAGAAUGAAGCAGCUGUUGGACCCGGGAUAGUGGGUAACAGGAGCAGAAUGAAGCAGCUGUUGGACCCGGGACAGGAGCUGAAUGAAGCAGCUGUUGGACCCGGGAUAGUGGGUAACAGGAGCUGAAUGAAGCAGCUGUUAGACCUGGGAUAGUGGGUAACAGGAGCAGAAUGAAGCAGCUGUUGGACCCGGGAUAGUGGGUAACAGGAGCUGAAUGAAGCAGCUGUUGGACCCGGGAUAGUGGGUAACAGGUUGUUGACCUGAGUAGUGUACACUAGGUAUGAAGAUCACUCAAGGAAGCAGGACCUUGGACAUCUGUACAUGAAAGAGGACACAUUGUGACACCUUCAAGGAAGUAAGGAGGAAGUCAGUUUAACAGUGGAGGAGCGACCUAUGCAAUGGUGAAGUGUGGAAAAGGUGCACUUGGUCACGCGACCUAACCUAGAGUCUGGUUUGACAUCCAUUGCACUGCACUUUUAUCCAUGAAGUAUUAUGGGAAAAUGAAAGUGAUUAGCUUGGGUAUUAUUAUUAAUAUGCCAGACAUGACACAAAAUGAGUUGAAUAUGAUAAAUGCAUACACAAA